CUAAUGGGACUUGCCACCUAGUGAACCGAGCACCCGCUACUUCUUGCGUCGGUCGA
rnacentral:rRNA from 1 species